UACGAAGGGUGCAAGCGUUACUCGGAAUUACUGGGCGUAAAGCGUGCGUAGGCGGUUCGUUAAGUCUGAUGUGAAAGCCCUGGGCUCAACCUGGGAAGUGCAUUCGAAACUUCGUAGCUUGAGUUCUGGAGAGGAAGGCGGAAUUCUCGGUGUAGAGGUGAAAUUCGUAGAUAUUCGGAAGAACACCAGUGGCGAAGGCGGCUCACUGGACCGGCAUUGACGCUGAGGUGCGAAAGCGUGGGGAGCAAACAGG
rnacentral:rRNA from 1 species